UUUCCUCUCCAGGAGCUCUAUUCGCUAAGUAAUUUUUAUUAUGAACUUAGCAUCAACGUCAACAUCCUUUUUCAAACACGUAACUUUGUCACUUCUUUGACUUCUGUCAUAGUAUCUAUGCUUCUGUAUUAAAAAAAUAUGAUCCGUAUUAUUUUUUUAGGAUUCUGUAAUUUUAGACCUUUGAUUGUACUGUAUUUGUUUGGUGUCAGGACCUCUACAGACAAACAAGGUAGAUUUUACUCAUCCCUAGUUGUCAGGAGUGUCAGGGGUGUCAGGACCUCUACAGACAAACUAGGUCAUUGUAUAUUUUACUUAUCCCUAGUUGUCAGGAGUGUCAGGGAUGUCAGGACCUCUACAGACAAACUUGGUAGAUUUUAUUGAGCCUCGUUGUCAGGGGUGUCAGGACCUCUACAGACGAACAUGGUAGUUUUUACUCAUCCCUAGUUGUCAGGAGUGUCAGGGAUGUCAGGACCUCUACAGACAAACUUGGUAGAUUUUAUUGAGCCUCGUUGUCAGGGGUGUCAGGACCUCUACAGAUAAACAAGGUAAUGGUAGAUUUUACUCAUCCCUAGUUGUCAGGAGUGUCAGGGAUGUCAGGACCUCUACAGACGAACAUGGUAGAUUUUAUUGAGCCUAGUUGUCAGGGGUGUCAGGACCUCUACAGACAAACUUGGUAGAUUUUAUUGAGCCUCGUUGUCAGGGGUGUCAGGACCUCUACAGAUAAACUAGGUAAUGGUAUAUUUUACUCAUCCCUAGUUGUCAGGAGUGUCAGGGAUGUCAGGACUUCUACAGACAAACAAGGUAUAUUUUACUCAUCCCUAGUUGUCAGGAGUGUCAGGGGUGUCAGGACCUCUACAGACAAACUAGGUAGAUUUUAUUGAGCCUAGUUGUCAGGGGUGUCAGGACCUCUACAGACAAACUAGGUAGAGUUUAUUGAGCCUAGUUGUCAGGAGUGUCAGGGGUGUCAGGACUUCAACAGACAAACUAGGUAGAUUUUAUUGAGCCUAGUUGUCAGGGGUGUCAGGACCUCUACAGACAAACUAGGUAGAUUUUAUUGAGCCUAGUUGUCAGGGGUGUCAGGACCUCUACAGACAAACUAGGUAGAUUUUAUUGAGCCUAGUUGUCAGGGGUGUCAGGACCUCUACAGACAAACUAGGUAGAUUUUACUCAUCCCUAGUUGUCAGGGGUGUCAGCAUCUCUACAAAAAAACCCUAUUAGAUUUCACUCAGCAUUAUAUAAAAAAAAACUUAAGCAAACUCAUAUGCCUAUUUUAUUAUGGCAAAUUGAUUACAAAAUGUUUUAGGUUGCAUAGAGUUCAUGUUAACUGUAUACCUUAAUAACAUUAUCGUACCUCCAAGUGAUAUCCGGAAUUUGAUACAAGUUUCUGAUAGCAAAAGCUAGUAGACUUCCUUGACGUUCUUACGGGUUUCCUGUGGUGUUAAGGGUUCCCUGUGAAAGAUCGCCUCAAAAAAGCUUCUGUUCACCAACCAACCCCAACCAUUUUUUUAAAGAAAAUUACUGAAAUGAAGGUGUCAGGGUGUCAGGACUGACAAACAA